UGCAAGUCGAGCGGAGUCUUCGGACUCAGCGGCGGACGGGUGAGUAACACGUAAAUAAUCUGCCCUUCAGUUGGGGACAACUAUUCUAACGGAUAGCUAAUACCGAAUAUUGUAACGCUUCGCAUGUUGUCGUUACGAAAGGCUUCGGCCGCUGGAGGGUGAAUUUGCGUCGCAUUAGCUUGUUGGUGGGGUAGUGGCCCACCAAGGCUUCGAUGCGUAGCCGGCCUGAGAGGGUGAACGGCCACAUUGGGACUGAGAUACGGCCCAGACUCCUACGGGAGGCAGCAGUAGGGAAUUUUGCGCAAUGGGGGAAACCCUGACGCAGCAACGCCAUGUGAGGGAUGAAGCAUUUAGGUGUGUAAACCUCUGUCAGUAGGGAAUAAAUGCUCCGUAAGGAGAGUUGAAUGUACCUACAAAGGAAGCACCGGCUAACUUCGUGCCAGCAGCCGCGGUAAUACGAGGGGUGCAAGUGUUGUUCGGAAUCACUGGGCGUAAAGGGAGCGUAGGCGGAAGUGUAAGUCAGAUGUUUAAUCCCGGGGCUCAACCUCGGACUUGCGUAUGAAACUGCAUUUCUUGAAUAUUGUAGAGGUAGAUAGAAUUUCCGGUGUAGCGGUGGAAUGCGUAGAUACCGGGAGGAAUACCAGUUGCGAAGGCGAUCUACUGGACAAAUAUUGACACUGAGGCUCGAAAGCGUGGGUAGCGAACAGGAUUAGAUACCCUGGUAGUCCACGCUGUAAUCGGUGAAUACUAGGUGUUGGGCAAGUUAACGUCUCAGCGCCGCAAGCU
rnacentral:rRNA from 1 species